rnacentral:rRNA from 1 species
GUCCCACCGCCCGUAAAACGGGUGGGUACCUAGGGUGUGGGGUUUCCUUCCCUUUGGGAUCCGGUGCCGGUAGCUAACGCCAUUUAAGUACCCCGCCCUGGGGGAGUACGGCCGCAAGGGGCUAAAACUCCAAAGAAAUUGACGGGGGCCCGCACAAGCGGCGGAGCAUGUGGAUUAAUUCGAUGCAACGCGAAGAACCUUACCUGGGUUUGACAUGCACAGGACGUGCCUAGAGAUAGGUAUUCCCUUGUGGCCUGUGUGCAGGUGGUGCAUGGCUGUCGUCAGCUCGUGUCGUGAGAUGUUGGGUUAAGUCCCGCAACGAGCGCAACCCUCGUCCUAUGUUGCCAGCGGGUUAUGCCGGGGACUCGUAGGAGACUGCCGGGGUCAACUCGGAGGAAGGUGGGGAUGACGUCAAGUCAUCAUGCCCCUUAUGUCCAGGGCUUCACACAUGCUACAAUGGCCGGUACAAAGGGCUGCGAUGCCGUGAGGUGGAGCGAAUCCUUUCAAAGCCGGUCUCAGUUCGGAUCGGGGUCUGCAACUCGACCCCGUGAAGUCGGAGUCGCUAGUAAUCGCAGAUCAGCAACGCUGCGGUGAAUACGUUCCCGGGCCUUGUACACACCGCCCGUCACGUCAUGAAAGUCGGUAACACCCGAA